AGAUUGAACGCUGGCGGCAUGCCUUACACAUGCAAGUCGAACGGUAACGCGGGGCAACCUGGCGACGAGUGGCGAACGGGUGAGUAAUGCAUCGGAACGUGCCCAGUAGUGGGGGAUAGCCCGGCGAAAGCCGGAUUAAUACCGCAUACGACCUACGGGUGAAAGCGGGGGACUCGCAAGAGCCUCGCGCUAUUGGAGCGGCCGAUGCCAGAUUAGCUAGUUGGUGGGGUAAAAGCCUACCAAGGCGACGAUCUGUAGCUGGUCUGAGAGGACGACCAGCCACACUGGGACUGAGACACGGCCCAGACUCCUACGGGAGGCAGCAGUGGGGAAUUUGGACAAUGGCGCAAGCCUGAUCCAGCCAUGCCGCGUGCGGGAAGAAGGCCGUUCGGGUUCGUAAACCUACUUUUGUCGAGGUAAGAAACGCUCUGGCUAACUACCGUGGGUAAUGACGGUACC
rnacentral:rRNA from 1 species